rnacentral:lncRNA from 1 species
AAAAAAGCCUUUUGGCCUGUCCAAAAAGCAGGCUUCUUAAAAUGAUGGCCCGACUCUCUCCUCUCAACUCUCCCGUUUCUCCCCCAUAGCUGUCUUUCGCUUACCAUGACUCUUCUACGGUCCACCUCUGUUGGCUGUUAAAGGUAAAAGCCUAACCCUUCUUUUUCAAUUUUAACAUUGGGAAAAAUUAGUUGUUGUCCCGACUCAUGCUGAUGUGUUAAGAUUCAGGUCAUUUUCUUUUUAAUCGUCUUUAUGUGUGAACUAAAAACUGGUUUUUCUGUGUUUGUGUUAAUGUGGAAUUUUAUUAGCUUUGGACAAGGUAGAGACCUUUCGAUGUUCAAUAUUCUUUGUACUUUUUAUGAAAACCACUCUACAUUAUUCUAUUUUCCAUCUACACAACUUCUCGUUUCUAUAUAUAUAUUCUAUUAACAUUAAGCCCUUGUUUGAGCCCCCCCCCCCCCUUUUUUUUUUUUUAGGUAAAAUGAAUUUUUGAAUAGUGUAUCGAUGUGAAAUGUGUGGUUAAAAAAUAAGGAAAAAUUUUUGAUUUACGUGUAAUAUUAUUUUAUUGAAAAAUGUGUGAUUGAAAUAAUAUCAAAACACUGUUGAAAAAUUAAUUUUUCUAAAAAAAUGGGGCUCAAACAAGGGCAAAUUUUCCAAUUCUUUUCUUCAAUUAACAGAGAUUUGAAUUCUGGAUUUAAACUUAGGGAAGGGGAGGCAUUUAGCUAAAAUAACAUUGUUAAGAUUUAUGGCCCAUCUUAAUAAGGUCAACCUUAUUAAGUGGAGAAGCCCAAAAUCUCUAUAAAUUAAUGUUUAUUUCGAUAUUAAAUCGAUGUGGGAUAACACAUCCCUUAAUAGGCCCCUCAAGAUUGUGUGUCUCAUUUGAGCAGAUCAAUCUUGAAAUCCACGAGAUGACUUUGAUACCAUGUUGAGAUUUGGGGUCCAUCUUAAUAAGGUCAAUCUUACUAAGAGGAGUGACCCAAGAUCUAUUUAAAUUGGUCAAUAUUAACCAAUUUAAAUAGAUCUUGGGGUCCAUCGUAAUAAGGUUAACCUUAUUAAGUGGAGAAGCCCAAGAUCUUUAUAAAUUGAUAUUUAUUUCGAUAUUAAACCAAUGUGGAAUAACACAUUCCUUAACAAGCCCCUCAAGAUGGUGGCUCAUUUGAGCAGACCAAUCUUGAAAUCCACGGGAUGGCUCUGAUACCAUGUUGAGAUUUGGGGUCCAUCUUAAUAAAGUCAACCUUAUUAAGAGUAGUAGCCCAAAAUCUAUUUAAGUUGGUCAAUAUUUCGAUAUUUAACCGAUGUGAGAUUUAUUCCCUUAACACGCCCCCGCAAGAUUGUGGCUCUUUUUGAGCAGACCAAUUUUGAAAUUCGUGUGCUCAUUUUUUAGAUUUAAUCGGAUCGAAUAACUCGUUGUAAUUUACUGAGCUCUGAUACUAUAUUAAGAUUUGGGAUCCAUAUUAAUAAGGUCAACUUUAUUAAGUGGAGAAGCCUAAGAUCUUUAUAAAUUGAUAUUUAUUUCGAUAUUAAAUUGAUGUGAGAUAACACAUCCCUUAACAAACAUUUUGAAUUUCAAUAGGAAAAUGAUGUUGUUGUUAAAAAGGUGGUGUAAUAAUUGAAAAAAAAUUUUGUGUACCCAGAAGGUUUUAUUUUUGGAGAACUGGUUGGGUAUUAUCUUCAUCGAAAAUGAGAGCUCAUAAUUGGAAUUUUUGAAGAUAGGCUGUAUAUCUAAUUAAUAAGGAUUAUGGUUUUUUAGGUGUACAAUAAUGGAUAUAGAGCAUGUUUGUUAUAUUCUUUUUAAUUUUAGACGUAAUCAUACUCAAUGAAUGAUUUUUAUUUGCAUUUUGGUACAAUAUUUUGGAUUAAAUAUUACAUUGAUUGACACUAAAUGUCUUAGUAAAUUUAAUAUCUUUUUGAAUCUUUAUAUUAUUUUGAAUAAGGUUAAAAAAAAUAUGUGAAAAUAAUUUCAUUCCUUCCUAUGAAUUCUUUCAUUGUUUAGGCAAAUAAUAGCCUACAAAAAUUCUUUUCCACAAAAAAUUAUUUGUAGAGAAAAAACAAAGUUUAGCCCUCAAAAUAAUUUGUAACAUGUUGUCAUACAUUUUUAAUUGCUAGAAAAAAAAUAUGUAUAUCUUAGCCCACAAAUAUUAUUUUCGCACAAAAAUUUAUUUGUGGGGAAAAGCACGAUUUAUCCCACAAUAUAAUUUGUAGCAAAAAGUAAACUAUUUUGUUAGCCAAAAGUGACUUUAGGAGUCAAAUGAUUUUGUCG